GCUAUGGAGGAUAUGGAGGGGUACCAGCAGGAGGGGCUGCUGCUGCGGCCAAAGCUGCUAAAUAUGGAGUACCAGGAGGUGCAGGAGCAGGCCUUGGAGCUGGAGGACUUGGAGGAGCAGGAGGAGUACCAGGGGCUGGAGGAUAUAACCCUGCAGUGGCCAAAGCGGCUAAAUAUGGAGUCCCCGGAGGUGCAGGAGCAGGCAUAAGAGCUGGAGGAACAGGAGGAUUACCAGGAGGAGGAGCAGGGGGUGUACCUGGGGCUGGAGGAUAUAAUCCCGCUGCAGCCAAAGCUGCUAAAUAUGGUAAGAUUACUCAUCAGAGUUGGUAUAUUGGUUGAAUUCAUGCUCAUUCAUGUUGGUUUUGAAAUCAUAUAUUUUCCUUGUGAACCUCUACACAGGAGUCCCAGGAGGUGUAGGAACAGGCCUAGGAGCAGGAGGACUUGGAGGAGGAGGACAGGGAGGAGUACCUGGACAAGUAGGAGCUGGAGGUACGUCAGAGGAUGUGUAUGAAUGGUAAAGACAUCAGAAAGAGCUCAAACAGUAUCAUGGUCUAGUCUGUCUUUCUAUGCGAUAUCAAGGUGAUGCAACAUUACAUUUUUUACAUUUUAGUCAUUUAGCAGACGCUCUUAUUCAGAGCGACUUACAGUAGUGAAUGCAUACAUUUCAUACAUUUUUCCCCGUACUGGUCCCCCGUGGGAAUCAAACCCACAACCCUGGCGUUGCAAACACCAUGCUCUACCAACUGAGCCACACGGCUCAGUUGCAUGCAAUAAGAAUAUGAAUUAUGUGAUGCUUGUGAUUGCAGGAUAUGAUCCCGCAGCCAAAGCUGCUAAAUAUGGUAAGAGCCUCUCUCGUUGUAUCAUAACUUUUAGUCUAUGUAAUGCAGACCAGUGGAAGAACAAUAAUGUUUUCCUGUUCUGUGCAGUCUCUGUACAGUACCUAUUCUCUCUUAGCUGGAUCAAGAUUUUCACUAUGGCUCAACAGAUUAUACUCUACCUUGAACUAUGUUCUUACCUGCCCGCAGGUAUGCCAAGUGGGGCGGGCAUCGGUGGAGAAGGUGUGCCAGCACCUAUAGCGACUCCAAGACCAGGUGUGGGCGUGGGUGGUGGUGUUGGAGGAACUGCCAUUGAGCGCACUGACGUACCAGUGGGCACAGGGAUACCUAUCGCAGGCAAACCAGGUGCCACAGGAGUAACUGGAGUUGGGGCUGGGGUUCUUCAACCUAGUGUUGGUACAGGCCCAGCUCAGCCUGGUGUGGGUGUCGGAGCAGGUGGCAAAGCUCCUAAACCCCCUGGUGCAGGGGGAUACCCGUAUGGUGGUUAUGGACAGGGUAUGUAUGAGAGAGGAGAAGAGCAGACCACAACCUUAUCGUCUCUACACUAG
rnacentral:lncRNA from 8 species